GCCUAACACAUGCAAGUCGAACGCGAAAGUCCUUCGGGAUGAGUAAAGUGGCGCACGGGUGAGUAACGCGUGGGGAACCUACCUCUUUGUGGGGAAUAACGUUCCGAAAGGAAUGGUAAUACCGCAUGAGACCUUCGGCUGGGAUGCUGGAGGUGAAACCCGGGGACCGUAAGGCCUGGGGCAAGGAGAGGGUCCUGCGUCUGAUUAGCUAGUUGGCGGGGUAAUGGCCCACCAAGGCGACGAUCAGUAGCCGGCCUGAGAGGGUGAUCGGCCACACUGGAACUGAGACACGGUCCAGACUCCUACGGGAGGCAGCAGUGGGGAAUUUUGCGCAAUGGACGAAAGUCUGACGCAGCAACGCCGCGUGGGUGAUGAAGGUCUUCGGAUUGUAAAACCCUGUCGUCAGGGACGAAGGUUGGGGCUUUAAUAGAGUUUCAACUUGACGGUACCUGGAGAGGAAGCCCCGGCUAACUCUGUGCCAGCAGCCGCGGUAAUACAGAGGGGGCAAGCGUUAUUCGGAAUUACUGGGCGUAAAGGGCGCGUAGGCGGUUCUUUAAGUCGGAUGUGCAAUCCCCGAGCUCAACUUGGGAACUGCAUCCGAAACUGGGGAGCUAGAGUGCUGGAGAGGGUGGUGGAAUUCCACGUGUAGCGGUGAAAUGCGUAGAGAUGUGGAGGAACACCAGUGGCGAAGGCGGCCACCUGGACAGUAACUGACGCUGAGGCGCGAAAGUGUGGGUAGCAAACAGGAUUAGAUACCCUGGUAGUCG
rnacentral:rRNA from 1 species